rnacentral:lncRNA from 1 species
CGGGCACUCAUGGCGACCUGCUCGUCUCUCAGCGGCUCGGUGAGGGUCUGCCCCGCCGCUGCGGUAAGCGAGGGGGCCCCAUGUGAGGACAGAACCCAGCUGCGGGACCCGCGACCGCCACAGCUCCGCCCUCGCUCUCCUCCGCCUCCUCCUCACGCGCCCAACCCCGCCGUCAGCCUCACAGCCGCUGAGCCGCCCACAGAGCGGGGCGGAGCCGAUCUGCCAGCCGCCGUCCCGAGCAGCCAAUCGACGUCGGGAAGGGUUUGAUGGACGGUGGCUCUUGGCCAAUGGAGAAGAGGAAGGCAGGCGGAGGGACUCACAGAGCUCGAGGAUCGGCAGUCCUG